GGCUGGCAGGGCCCACUUGACAGGGGGAGAAAAACAGAGAGGGGGCGAGACUGCACUUGGGCACGAGGGAUGGGCCGCCCCACGCGGGAGAGGGCAGGAGGCCGAAGGGAAAGAGAGGAGGAAGGAGUGGGCUGGGGCUGAAUUGGGCCGACAGAAAAGAGAGGGAGGAGUGGGCUGUUGGCCCACUCGGCUGGGAGGGGAGGAAAGGAAAGGAGAAAAGGAAGAGGGGAAAAGGAGAAAGAAAGAAGGGAAAAAGAAAAGAGGGGAUGAUUAUAAAGGGAAAAAAUGGAGG
rnacentral:lncRNA from 1 species